UACGUAGGGGGCGAGCGUUGUCCGGAGUUACUGGGCGUAAAGGGCAUGCAGGCGGUCCGACACGUUUUGUGUGACAGCGGGUGGCUUAACUACCCGAGGAUACGAAAGACGGUUGGACUUGAGGACUCGAGAGGGACACGGAAUUCCGGGUGGAGUGGUGAAAUGCGUAGAGAUCCGGAGGAACACCGAAGGCGAAGGCAGUGUCCUGGCGAGUGACUGACGCUGAGGUGCGAAAGCCAGGGGGGCGAACGGG
rnacentral:rRNA from 1 species